rnacentral:rRNA from 1 species
GACGAACGCUGGCGGCGUGCUUAACACAUGCAAGUCGAACGCUGAAGACCUGGCUUUUGUUGGGUUGGAUGAGUGGCGAACGGGUGAGUAACACGUGAGUAACCUGCCCUCUUCUUUGGGAUAACGCCCGGAAACGGGUGCUAAUACUGGAUAUUCACUGGCCUUCGCAUGGGGGUUGGUGGAAAGGUUUGUUCUGGUGGGGGAUGGGCUCGCGGCCUAUCAGCUUGUUGGUGGGGUGAUGGCCUACCAAGGCUUUGACGGGUAGCCGGCCUGAGAGGGUGACCGGUCACAUUGGGACUGAGAUACGGCCCAGACUCCUACGGGAGGCAGCAGUGGGGCAUAUUGCACAAUGGGCGAAAGCCUGAUGCCGCGACGCCGCGUGAGGGAUGGAGGCCUUCGGGUUGUAAACCUCUUUCGCUCAUGGUCAAGCCGCAACUGUGGGUUGUGGUGAGGGUAGUGGGUAAAGAAGCGCCGGCUAACUACGUG